rnacentral:miRNA from 1 species
CUCUGCAAUAAUAUUGUCCUGUCACUGCACUCAGGUCGGUAUUAGUAGGUCCCGUGAAUCACCAUGCCUCCACUGCGGCCAGACGCAGUC